GGCUGAUGGCCGCCGCUGUCCUUUUACCUCUCUGGCCAUUUCUUUCAACUGAGUCUCGACUCCCAGGAUGAACAGGGGCAGUUGCUUAGGCUGCUGAGACAGUUGCCCCUCAACUGUAAAAGUCAGGUACUGGAAUCCAGCUUUUUCUAUUUACUACUGCAGCUCUGUGUGGGACACAGAGAGCCCAGAUAAAUCAGACAGGGGGCCUGCCCGCACUGGGUUACAGUGGGAAGAAGCAGAGACAGACAGAAGGCCUACAGGAUAAGAUGGUGGAGGAGUAGACAGGCUGAGAUCAAAGGAGAAGGGUUCAGUCCUACCUGGGCAGGUCAGGAAAGGGGCACCCAGCAGGUCAUAAUCACAGGGCUGCCAGGGUCAGGCUUUAGCCUAGGAGGUGCCUGUAAGUUAUCUCCAAUCCCACAACCCCCCUGCCUGGGAGGUAUUAACCCCACUUUACCAGGAAAGAAUCUGGUGGCUUGUUCAAGGCUACCCAGGUCCUAGUGCUGAAAUCCAGCCCAGGUCUUUCUGACCUUAAAACCACCCAGCUUCCCUUCCCCUCUCCCAUGGCUGCAGUUCUCAGUGGAGGGUGUUCCCUUCAGCCAAGACUUGGAUUCUGGAGAAAACAAAAGUACUUGCCUUCCAUUCAAGCUGCUGACAGCCAUUCAUGCCUGGGUAUGAAUGAUGGUCAGUGGCAGAGAAAACGGAAAAAAAAAAUAAUCCACAUGAGGCACCUGGUUCCCAUUUUUUCUGAAGACCUCGACACCCUGAUAACCCCAAAGGACUUGUAAUUUAUGACUUCUGAGAACUCCCCUUAAGUGCGCCUACCUUCUUUCUGAUGGUAUCUGCAGGACUUGGCAGAGUUACCUCCUGUCUCUUCAGGAUCUUGGAGAUAAAAACUGCCUCCUGAAAGCUCUGAGAAGCUUUUAGGAAAAAUUGACAAAAAGAUUGCCAGCUGGAAUUCUGCCUCUGCUCUGCUCAUGGUGGCAGGCAGCUGCAGCGUGGGGCACCCUGGGCUCUGUUGGCCAUCCUGUUGGCAUUUUUUGGGGGGAGGGGGUACGGGCUGUUCAAGGAUGGUUUGAACCAAGACUAGCUAGAUUCUAGAGAAGAAUGGCACGUACCUCCUGGGCAGAGGUCCAGGACAGGGCAAGAAGGCUGCCUUACCAUUUAGAUAAGGAAGCCUCUCUUUCUGCCUCUAAUAACAGUCAAAUUUCAAAUUCACAUGUGCAAGUGAAACCAGGCAAAGUGCUCCAUAGAUCUUAACUCACUAAUCCUGCACAGCAAGUUUAAGCAAAAUGCUCAAGCCCACAUGGCAAGAGAGGAGAGUUGGACUUUGAAUCCACACAUGUUGGCCCCGGGGUGCUGUACACGGUUCAGAUGACGGUCUGGGACCAGGUAUGGACCACUGGAAGCCUGCAAGCGAUGCGGAAUUCCCAGCCUGCCCCAAACUCCCUGAAUCAGCAUUUUUAUUUUAUCACGAUCCUUUGGCGAUGGAUGGCCGUCACAGUUUGAGAAGCACUGCCACCUCCCCCCUCCCAUUGCAUGACACUGCUCAACUCGGGGGGGGGUAGUGCAUUUUGUGCCCAAGCUAUUGUGUUCAUUCAAUCAGCCAAAUAUCCCCAAGCUCCAGACAUUGUGCUGGGCAGGUGACAGAGGCAAAGACAACUGUCUUCAUGAGACUUCUGGCUGUGCCCUCCAGGAAGGCAGUGUGGGGAAUGGGGCAAGGUGGUGCCAGCCAGGAUGCUUGGAUCCAAAUCCUAGUGCCACCACCCUCUGGCUGUGAGAAGGAAGCUGAGUCAUUGCAUCUUCCUGGGUCUCAGGUUCCUCACCUGUGAAACAAAGCAGGUGAUCCAGCACACAAUGUGUUCCUUGAGCACAGUGGGCACCCAACAGGCAUUCAAGGGGAUCUGAUGAAAUAGAGGACCACUUAAUAAGUGACCUGAUCAUCUUCCACAAGAAGCCCCCCCUCCAUUUCCAAGAGGAAAAAGGAAGCAUGCUGGGGUGGGGGAGACAGAGGAGAAUCUCUUCUGAAGGAGUGGGGCUUUCCCAGACCUCUUAAUUGUGGCACUGUUUUCCUCUGUCUGCUCAGUUUAUUUUUCUUGGUAAACAUCUGCCUUACAUCUGUGGGUCACUCAGCAAUUUGGCCAUGCCUCCAGAAAGGGUUAAAAUCAGAGAAGGAUGGAGUGGGUGGUGGGAAUGAUCUAGAAUCUUGGCCUCCAACCCUAGGACCUCAUGUGAUAAAGGGAAAGAGGGUAAAUAAGAUCUGGACAUCGAGGAUGGUUUUGUCUCCUCUUCCUUCUCGCUUUCCUCCUUCCUCUUCUCUUAUCUCCAAACUACUUUGACCUCUCUGGUGACCAAGAUCAAUCCAAUUGUACAUCCAUCAUGAUGAGUAUGUUCUUUGUUCUUGCUCCAAGCGGGUCCCUGCACUAUGUGCUUUUGUUCCGUGUUAUCACUGAAUCUUUCAAACAAUCUGAUGGGGUGUAGUCACCAUUGUUACCCCCACUUUACAGCUGAAGACACUGAGGCUCAGAGCGGUGAGGCGCCUGAGGCCAUUCAACCACUUCCUUGUGAUGGAACCAGGAUAUGAAUCCAGGUUUGUUCAAUUCCAUAGCCAAUGUACUAAGCCACUGCACUCACCGCCUUGAUGACCAUGGACUGUCACUUGGCCAAGGAGUAAGUCUAUUGAGAAAGCAACUCCAACCAAGACCAUAACAAUAAGGCUAACAUCUUGCUCCCUGCCGCAGUCUGGCUGGGCACAAAUCAAGAGCCACUGAAGCAGGAACAAACUUUAUUUCCGAACUCCCGCAAACGAUACGCAUUCGGCCUUCUCCAGGGACACACCACACCAACCGGAAAUCCCUCCUCCGGAACUUCCCCAACCAAUGCGAAUCCUCCAGGAAUCCCGAGAGAACUCCAAAGUAGCCCGAGAACUCCAAAGCAGCAGGCCGAGGCGGACAGCAGGGGUCUAAUAUACAAUUGAAUACACAGCUUAACAUAACCAUCAUCAUCUCAAUGGCUUGCUGUCGUCACCUCUCAACCACUUGUUCUGGCAAAAAUGCCAUGCGUCAUCCGACUGGGCUGUGGCCCUCAACAGCUCCCCAAGGGGGACAAAACACAGCUUUCCUGGCCCACCUUUAAGUGACUAUGACUCUGUCAUAGUCAGCAAGCCGUUUUGGUAUUUUGUUAAAGCCCCCAGGUGACUGGAGCUGAGUCUGCAGGGGACCCAUCACCUUGGAGAGAACUGGGCUCCAUGGGACUGGUCAUUUCCUCUUUCCCAGUAGAAGGCCACUAGCUCCUGAGAAUGAAGAGUCAUUAACUUUGAGGGAGCUUCCUGUGAGUGAUCUUUGCCCUCUGUGAAAGUGUGGAGAUCAAGAUAAGGGAGAAAAAGUGUGGGCAGCAGGAGGUUGGGCUCCACUUAGCUCUGAGGCUUCCCUCCUGGAGCAGGUACAUUGAACCCUGAGUCCAGGGGUGGCAGGGGGAGGGAGGGUGACAGGUGUGGGAUUAAUUAAAGCAUUAAGCAGUGAACCUUUGGGUCAUCCUGCUGUGGUUCCUUAAAGCCCAAACUUUAGUUUGUCUGGUCUUCAGAGUUGCUCUUGGUGACUCCUAGCCUCACCACCCUGCUAAGCAUUUCGGGUUUUGCUAUGUGUACUAUCUGUUCUAUUAGCCUCACAAGUCUUUUUUUUUUUUUAAAUCAAAUAUUAAAGUUCUAAUGUUCUAUAGCACAGUCGGGUGAUGACAGUUCAUGAGAAUUCAUUACACAUGUCAAAAUGAACCAGAAGAGAGGAGUCUGAAGGUCCCCAACACCAAGAAAUGAUAAAUAUUUCUUUUUUUUCACAAAAAAUUAGGAAUACUAAUCACCCCGAUUUGAUCAUUACACCUUGGACACAUGUAUUAAACUAUCUACUCCAUAAAUAUGCACGAUUAUUUUAUGUCAAUAAAAAAAAAGAAUUUGCAUGCAUUUACAAAGUGACCAUAUCACUAUCUCCAAAGGGAACUGAGGCUCACUGGCCCUACAUGGACAUGGACUGUUAUCGAACAGGAUAAAGCCCGAAAAUGGAAUUAAUCUUCCAUUGAUCCUGCAGCUUGAGCUUUGGUGGAAAGGAGUUGUCAGAACGCUUGAGCCCUCCUUUGAGGUCUCUGAAGGACUGAAAAGUCAUUGAAAAUGGUACACAUUUCUCACUCUAUGACUCAAUACUGUUUAACUUCAGGUCCACGGAUAUUCACUCACAGAUACUAAUAAAUUCCACAGCAACAGAUUGUAAGCUCCAGGGUGGCAAGGCAUUUUUUUCUGUAUUUUUGUAAAGAUAUGAUGGCUCACUGCUAUAUUCCCAGACCCUGGAUGGGUGCCUGUAAGGCAGCAGGUGCCUACGUGUAUGUGGGAGAUGUGGAUCAUGGGGCAUAUGGGUCUGACUAUCCUAUCUCUUAUUUUCUUUGCAGACUGAGAAGCUAAAUUUAAAACAGGAGGAGUGUCCAACUGCCCAUCAAAUGUCUUGGUCACUGCAUUGGAACUCAGCCACUCAACUUAGGUCUAAGAAUUCUACAGCCUGUUCUAGCCUCGGCUUCUUCUCCAUCCUUGGAUGUACAGGCUACCAUGCUGUUGGAGGAUCAGAAGAAAUCAUGGAUGGGCAAGCACCCUAAAUGCCCUGUGCACUUAGAAAAAGGUUGAAUUGAUUGUACACAGCACAGGAAAUGCCUGAUUUUGUUCCCAUGACAUUGUGCAUGCUUCAGCUGCUCUGAGAGUUCCUCCAAAGCCUGACCCUAGAACAUUUUCUUUGCCUACUUUUAAAAGCACACCUGCUUGCCGCUCUUAUCAUGGAGGGAUCACUCUGACAUUGUUGAGAACAGAUUUUGUGUUCCACUUCUAUUGGGAAGGCAGACCCAGGAGGCUCUGUUUAUUUUUAGCAGAACCAUUAUUAAACUGCUACUAAUAUUAACAUCAAUACUACUCCUACUAAUAAUACGAGGAAACACCCACUUUUGUGUGAUUGAGCCAGGUUGCCCGGAGGCAGAGGAAUGGAUUCAUUGACCUUUUGAGUCUGAUCUCAGCCCUUUGGUUCUAUUACCACCUUGUAAACCUGAGGGUGUUUUGUAUUUACCCCUAAGGAGUUGUGGUUAGAAUCUGCUAAAAAUAUCUCACGAUGCACCUCCCAAUGGUCAUCGCCCUUUAUAACAUACCUGUUGUUCAAGACUUAAAGUUUCCUGGGUGGUGACAGAGAAGAACUGGCUGGAGGAAGGCUGUGGAAUUUAAGUGACACUUGCCAAGCUGGUGAGGCUAAGUGCCAUUCCAAAGUCUGAUUCCUGCCGUCUGCCGUGGGGUUACUUCCAUACCGUGCCAUUCCCCAUUCAUUAAACACAUAGUUACAGAUUCCUAGAACGAGCCAGCCAUGGUGCUAAUCUAGCCAGGAAGAGAGACAAGCAAACACCCACAAUGCAAUGUGGCAAGUGCUAGGGGGCGGAGAAUCAAGAAGAGGGAAGGCGACGAUUCAGCUGGGGACUGAUUGGUGUCAAGAGAUCCUAUCAGGAAAGGCUCCCUGAAGGAAGCAGUGUUUGGGUUGAGAUGAGAAGGAUGAGUAUCAGAUAGACAGGGGGAGAAGGAUUAAUUGUGCUCUGGGUAUGGACAGCAUAUGCAAUGGUUUGGUGGCAGGCAGGGACAAUGACCUGCCCAUUUGGGUUACUGUGAUAUUAUGAAAUAAAUAGCUUCAUCCAGUUUCCUGGCAUACAAUUCUUAAAGUCCUUGGUAUCUCCAAAGGGAUGAAUGUCUACAAGGACACUAAUGGGUUGACUGAUGGCUGGCCACUUCUAGUAGCCUUUAGGAUGCAGGCUGGUCCAUGGGAAAACCAACCAUACACUCAAAGGAUUUGCCCAUACCUCUGAGGCGAGGAGGGAAUUGGAAGUUGACCUGGUCACCAGUGGCUGAUGAUUUAAUCAGUCAUGCUUAAGUAAUGAAGCCUCCAUAAAACCCCCAAAAGGACAGAGUCCUGGGGAUUCCAGGAAGGUGAACAAGAACUCACUCACAUACCUGGAGAGUAGUGUAUCCCAACUCCAUGAAGAUG
rnacentral:lncRNA from 1 species